GUCGAACGGCAGCAUAGGAGCUUGCUCCUGAUGGCGAGUGGCGAACGGGUGAGUAAUAUAUCGGAACGUGCCCUAGAGUGGGGGAUAACUAGUCGAAAGACUAGCUAAUACCGCAUACGAUCUACGGAUGAAAGUGGGGGAUCGCAAGACCUCAUGCUCCUGGAGCGGCCGAUAUCUGAUUAGCUAGUUGGUGGGGUAAAAGCCUACCAAGGCAACGAUCAGUAGCUGGUCUGAGAGGACGACCAGCCACACUGGGACUGAGACACGGCCCAGACUCCUACGGGAGGCAGCAGUGGGGAAUUUUGGACAAUGGGGGCAACCCUGAUCCAGCAAUGCCGCGUGAGUGAAGAAGGCCUUCGGGUUGUAAAGCUCUUUUGUCAGGGAAGAAACGGUAGUAGCGAAUAACUAUUACUAAUGACGGUACCUGAAGAAUAAGCACCGGCUAACUACGUGCCAGCAGCCGCGGUAAUACGUAGGGUGCAAGCGUUAAUCGGAAUUACUGGGCGUAAAGCGUGCGCAGGCGGUUGUGUAAGUCAGAUGUGAAAUCCCCGGGCUCAACCUGGGAAUUGCAUUUGAGACUGCACGGCUAGAGUGUGUCA
rnacentral:rRNA from 1 species